UACGGGGGGGGCAAGCGUUGUUCGGAAUUACUGGGCGUAAAGGGCUCGUAGGCGGCCAACUAAGUCAGACGUGAAAUCCCCAGGCUCAACCUGGGAACUGCGUCUGAUACUGGAUGGCUUGAAUCCGGGAGAGGGAUGCAGAAUUCCAGGUGUAGCGGUGAAAUGCGUAGAUAUCUGGAGGAAUACCGGUGGCGAAGGCGGCAUCCUGGACCGGCAUUGACGCUGAACGGCGAAAGCUAGGGGAGCAAACGGG
rnacentral:rRNA from 1 species